UUGAAUAUUCUUGAUGGGUUGUAGCUGGCUCUUUGGGGCAUGUGCACGCUUGUCUUGACUCUAUUCAUCCACCUGUGCACCUUUUGUAGUCUUGGGGGUUGAGAGCAGUCGACUAUCGAAUGGCUGUUAUGGCUUUACCGGAUGUGAGGAAUUGCUGAGUGCAAAAGCAUACAGCUCUUCUCAAAA
rnacentral:misc_RNA from 1 species